ACCUUGAAAAACAGUUGGGAAAUUCCUCAACAAGUUAAACAUGGAGAUACCAUGUGGUCUAGCAAUUGUACUGCUAGGCAUGUAACCACAAGAAUUGAAAACAUGUGCCCACACAGAAGCUUGGGCAUGCAUGUUCGCAGCAGCAUUCUUCCUACUAGCCGAAGGUGGAAACAAUCCGAAUGUCUAUCAGCUGAUGCAUGCAUAAGCAAAAGGUGGUAGAGCCAUACAACGGAAUAAUAUUUGGCUGCAAAAAUGAACGAAGGACCAAUACAUGCAAUGACACGAUGAACCUUGAAAACAGUAUGCUAAGUAAAAGAAACCAGUCACCCAAGACCACAGAACAAUACAUUGAGAUUUGGGGGUGGUGUGUGUGUGUGUGUAAUGUAUCACUCCCCUCUCCCUCUCCUAGCCCCCACUGGCGCAGAGUCUGCUGAGCCUUUCAGUCUCAAUUUCCUUUCCCAAAUUCAUCAAGCAGAUGGGAGGUUGGUCAGCCCCCAUCAGAUGGAAUUAAUCGUACUGCAGAGUAGAAGAGCCUACCCGCACCUUGCCCCCAGGCUCUCAGCUCCCUAUUGCCCCGCUCACAAGCAUGCUGCCUUACUCCCUGCUGUGCACCGGACACCAAGCUACGCAACUUACCCGGGCUUUCGUCCUCACUUGUCUGCAGAAUGGAGAACACAGGAUCCAGAAAUGAAGACGCUUGCUCAGGUUCACAGAGCUAUGAAGUGGGAGGGUCAGGGUCCUAAGGCAGGAGCCCUUUUUUUCUCACAGGGUAUGGAGGCAAGUGUAGUUCUCCCUAGUUUUGUCCACUUUACCUUCCUCUCUCCCUCCUCUUCCCCCUCUUCUCUCCCGCACCCUCUCCUCCUCCCCCCCUCUCCCCACCUUUUUCUCCUUGAGGUAUGAAGCUUUCUUUACUACAUAACCAGGGGAAAUUUAAAAAGAACUUAGAACACACGUGAGCAAGAGUUGGAAGUCUUUUUUUUGCUAAAUGUGUUUUUUUCCCCGAAUUUUCAGGGAAAGCACCAAAGAAGUGAAGCCAUAAAUACAUGGAGUUUCCCCAGUGGUUACAGCUUACAUGGGUUUGUGCCCGUCUUUCUAAGAGCUUUUUUUUUUUUUAAAACGUUUAUGUUAACUGCACAGGAAAUACACAAAUACAUUUCCAUAGUAAAUUCUAAAAAUUGAAUAUUACAGAUCAAAUUAAAGUCUCUUUUGACCUCCUUUAGCCCUACUUCAAGUGUAACUAUUGCUAUCAUUUUAGCGUGUAUUUUUCUAAAACUUUUGAAAUUAAUUUGUACACGUUUAUCUAGAUAAACAUAUAUUAUUAUUAUUUUUACAUGACUGGUGGCAGUUGCAUUUAUC
rnacentral:lncRNA from 1 species